UACGUAGGGUGCGAGCGUUGCUCGGAAUCACUGGGCGUAAAGCGCACGUAGGCGGCUUUCUAAGUCAGGGGUGAAAUCCUGGAGCUCAACUCCAGAACUGCCUUUGAUACUGGGAAGCUCGAGUCCGGAAGAGGUGAGUGGAACUCCGAGUGUAGAGGUGAAAUUCGUAGAUAUUCGGAAGAACACCAGUGGCGAAGGCGGCUCACUGGUCCGGUACUGACGCUGAGGUGCGAAAGCGUGGGGAGCGAACAGG
rnacentral:rRNA from 1 species